UGCCAGCAGCCGCGGUAAUACGUAGGGGGCAAGCGUUGUCCGGAUUUACUGGGCGUAAAGAGCGUGUAGGCGGCCAAGCAGGUCCGUUGUGAAAACUGGAGGCUUAACCUCCAGACGUCGACGGAAACCGCGUGGCUAGAGUCCGGAAGAGGAGAGUGGAAUUCCUGGUGUAGCGGUGAAAUGCGCAGAUAUCAGGAAGAACACCAAUGGCGAAGGCAGCUCUCUGGGACGGUACUGACGCUGAGACGCGAAAGCGUGGGGAGCGAACAGGAUUAGAUA
rnacentral:rRNA from 1 species